rnacentral:lncRNA from 1 species
GGACUCGCUCAGUUUUCUUUAGUGGCUUAUUUUGGGAGGAUUUUUAGCAGCAAAAAAUGGAUUGUGUUGCUGUAGGGGAAAGAGCCCAGUGUACCCUGUUUCUUUUCUGUGACUGCUAUAUACUUAGUUUCUGCUUCUGCUCUCCUCCUUUUCUUCCACUGCCUUGUUCUCUGGAUGCAGUGCUUCAUCAGAGCUGCCGCACCCAGCCCCUGCAACUCAUGCUGAGAGCUUUCUAUCAAGUACCCACCUGUGCUCAGAGUCUUGGCCUUUCAUGUUGCACUUUCUCUUUCAAGAGAUGAUUUUAUUGUUGCUUUUUCUAAGUCCUCUUUUCCUUUCUGCUCCUUUCCAGAGGCUCUUAAACUUCCCCUAACCUGCUCUCCUGGCUCACAGGCUUGCCAACAGCAGGAGAGAAGUGAGAACUGUCAGAUUUUUCCUCUCUACUCACUGGUGAUUUGAAAGUUGUGGCGUUCGCUGUCUCCUAGUUACACGGAAGGCAUACAUCAGCUAACAUUUCAUUUACUCUUA